rnacentral:rRNA from 1 species
CUCCUUUUGGUGUCAGUUGACUUGAUUGGGCGGGUCCAAUAUCAGCCGGAUUCCCCUUGAGAGACUUUGGGGAGGCCUGACGGUCUCACCCAAUGGCUUGGGGUUCUGCCGGCUGUGAGGGGUGGCGAUUAACUCACAUUAAGCAAUCAACUCUAAAGACAGCUCGAUUGGCUAGCAUUGCUGGCUGUAGACUGAACAAAUACAGACAACUCUCAACAACGGAUAUCUUGGCUCCCGUAACGAUGAAGAACGCAGCGAAAUGCGAUACGUAGUGUGAAUUGCAGAAUUCCGUGAACCAUCGAAUCUUUGAACGCAAAUUGCGCUCGAGGCUUCGGCCAAGAGCAUGUCUGCCUCAGCGUCGGCUACUACCCUCAACUAAGUUUCCUAUGAAAGACUAGGGGAUGCCAGUUGGAUAUGGCAGUCCGGUUUGCCUUUCAGGUUGCCGGUCAGCUGAAAUAUAUUCACGCUCUGGGGGCUGCUUUCCUUGAUAGGCUACUUUCAAGGGGAGGCGAGUUCCGAUUUGGUAGGUGACCUUUGCCGGUUACAUGCCUUCGUUGCUCGCUAAGCGUCCCAGUAGUCGUUGUGCAGGACGCCUUUUGGCUUUCGACCUGAGGUCAGGCAAGAACACCCGCUGAACUUAAGCAUAUCAAUAAGCGGAGGAAAAGAA